AUACGGAGGAUCCGAGCGUUAUCCGGAUUUAUUGGGUUUAAAGGGUGCGCAGGCGGCCAUUUAAGUCAGCGGUUAAAUCGUGGGGCUCAACCCCAUUCUGCCGUUGAUACUGGGUGGCUUGAUUGCGGUCGAGGUUGGCGGAAUUCGUUGUGUAGCGGUGAAAUGCAUAGAUAUGACGAAGAAAACCGAUUGCGUAGGCAGCAGACCAGACCGCAAAUGACGCUCAUGCACGAAAGUGCGGGGAUCGAACAGGAUUAGAUGCCCUGGUAGUCCGCACAGUAAACGAUUAAUACUUGGUUUCGGCGAGAUAAUGUCGGAGGCAAAGCGAAAGCGAAAAGGAUUCCACCUGGGGAGUACGCCGGCACCGGUGAUACUGAAAGGAAUUGACGGGG
rnacentral:rRNA from 1 species